rnacentral:rRNA from 1 species
AUUGAACGCUGGCGGCAGGCCUAACACAUGCAAGUCGAACGGUAACAGGAAACAGCUUGCUGUUUCGCUGACGAGUGGCGGACGGGUGAGUAAUGUCUGGGAAACUGCCUGAUGGAGGGGGAUAACUACUGGAAACGGUAGCUAAUACCGCAUAACGUCGCAAGACCAAAGAGGGGGACCUUCGGGCCUCUUGCCAUCGGAUGUGCCCAGAUGGGAUUAGCUAGUAGGUGGGGUAACGGCUCACCUAGGCGACGAUCCCUAGCUGGUCUGAGAGGAUGACCAGCCACACUGGAACUGAGACACGGUCCAGACUCCUACGAGAGGCAGCAGUGGGGAAUAUUGCACAAAGGGCGCAAGCCUGAUGCAGCCAUGCCGCGUGUAUGAAGAAGGCCUUCGGGUUGUAAAGUACUUUCAGCGGGGAGGAAGGGAGUAAAGUUAAUACCUUUACUCAUUGACGUUACCCGCAGAAGAAGCACCGGCUAACUCCGUG